rnacentral:rRNA from 1 species
GACGAACGCUGGCGGCGUGCUUAACACAUGCAAGUCGAACGGAAAGGCCCUUCGGGGUACUCGAGUGGCGAACGGGUGAGUAACACGUGGGUGAUCUGCCCUUCACUUUGGGAUAAGCCUGGGAAACUGGGUCUAAUACCGAAUAUGACCGCGCACUUCCUGGUGUGUGGUGGAAAGCUUUUGCGGUGUGGGAUGGGCCCGCGGCCUAUCAGCUUGUUGGUGGGGUAAUGGCCUACCAAGGCGACGACGGGUAGCCGGCCUGAGAGGGUGACCGGCCACACUGGGACUGAGAUACGGCCCAGACUCCUACGGGAGGCAGCAGUGGGGAAUAUUGCACAAUGGGCGCAAGCCUGAUGCAGCGACGCCGCGUGGGGGAUGACGGCCUUCGGGUUGUAAACCUCUUUCAAUAGGGACGAAGCGCAAGUGACGGUACCUAUAGAAGAAGGACCGGCCAACUACGUGCCAGCCGCCGCCGUAA